rnacentral:rRNA from 1 species
CAAUAGCGUAUAUUAAAGUUGUUGCGGUUAAAAAGCUCGUAGUUGGAUUUCUGUUGGGAACGACCGGUCCGCCCAUUGGGUGUGUAUCUGGCUUGUUCUCGGCAUCUUCUUGGUGAACGUUGCUGCACUUGACUGUGUGGAGCGCUACCCAGGACUUUUACUUUGAGGAAAUUAGAGUGUUUCAAGCAGGCAUAUGCCUUGAAUACAUUAGCAUGGAAUAAUAAGAUAGGACCUCGGUUCUAUUUUGUUGGUUUCUAGAGCUGAGGUAAUGAUUAAUAGGGAUAGUUGGGGGCAUUCGUAUUUAACUGUCAGAGGUGAAAUUCUUGGAUUUGUUAAAGACGGACCACUGCGAAAGCAUUUGCCAAGGAUGUUUUCAUUGA